rnacentral:rRNA from 1 species
UAGGGAAUCUUCCACAAUGGACGCAAGUCUGAUGGAGCAACGCCGCGUGAGUGAAGAAGGUUUUCGGAUCGUAAAGCUCUGUUGUUGGUGAAGAAGGAUAGAGGCAGUAACUGGUCUUUAUUUGACGGUAAUCAACCAGAAAGUCACGGCUAACUACGUGCCAGCAGCCGCGGUAAUACGUAGGUGGCAAGCGUUGUCCGGAUUUAUUGGGCGUAAAGCGAGCGCAGGCGUAAUGAUAAGUCUGAUGUGAAAGCCCACGGCUCAACCGUGGAACUGCAUCGGAAACUGUCAUUCUUGAGUGCAGAAGAGGAGAGUGGAAUUCCAUGUGUAGCGGUGGAAUGCGUAGAUAUAUGGAAGAACACCAGUGGCGAAGGCGGCUCUCUGGUCUGCAACUGACGCUGAGGCUCGAAAGCAUGGGUAGCGAACAGG